rnacentral:lncRNA from 1 species
GUCAAGGUCACAACUCAAGGUCAAAGGUUUGAGCUCUGUAUCUCCUAAACCCCUUGAAGGAUUUUCAUGAAACUUGGGUCAAGUGAUCAACCCAUCAAGUUAUUGUGCAGAAUUCGUGAGUCAGCCAUGUCAGUUCAAUGUCAAGGUCACAGCUUGAGGUCAAAGGUUUAUCCUUUCACUAUCCAUAGCAGUGGCACGGGAUUUAGCUGUCUUUCAGACUGCCUUGUAUUCUUUUAGUUUUGUAUAGCUAUUUUUUACACUAGAAUGAUGGAGUACUUGGGAAAAAAUGUCGCAGCAGGAUAUAGAGAUGCAUCACACUGCUCUUUAUCAUGAACAGAUUUUUCCAAAUUGGUGGCGGAUGUUUAAUACAAGUACAUUUGAAGAUAUAAUGUUGUAGAUGUUGCAACUAUGGUGCUUGAUAUUGACAAACACGUGCACGGAUGUCAUGUUGUAGAUUUCACAGUGGUUAAGUGGAUGGUGCAGCUUGGUCCUUUUUCUAAGGCACAACGGGCCAGAGUGACUGAAGAGCUUCGGGCAUGCACAUACAGUUUCUGGCUUUGGUGAUUGUAAAGCUCGAAGUGUUUGAUGAGAAACUCAAACUAUCCGGCGAGAAGCAGUUUCCUGGAUCAUACACCACUGUUUGAUGGUCUCAAUGGAAUUCAAGGCUUGGUGGACAUGUUGUCUGUAUUUGGCCUUUCGUGCUCAUAUUCUUCCACACCUCUUGCACAAAACGGAAAAUCCUUGAUGGCCGGACAGACGAAGACUUCAGUUGGGUUUAAAAAGGCAAGAAGAUAGUGUUUUACGUUGCUGAAAGACAUAGAAAAGAACCGAUUGCA